rnacentral:snoRNA from 1 species
UAGAUCAUACUUCAAAGGAUCAUUUCUUUAGUAUGAAUUUA